rnacentral:lncRNA from 10 species
CAUCAAACAACCAGAAUUUAAGAAUUAUUACAGAACAGAAUAAAGUGAGGGUCUGAAGAAUUAUCCAUAAAGCAUGAUCCUUUCUAGGAGAUUAGAAAGAAUCCUGAUUUCUUGCUUCUUAUCAACAAUGUAGAACUUUCUUCUGGUUCUUUCCUUGUACAAGAGAACGCUGGGCUUUAACUGAACACAUAGCUACCCAACUAAAGCAUCUUUUGCAGCUAGAAAUGGCCAUGUGAUCAAGUUUGGAGGAACUAGAGGGGUUGGCAAGUGAUGAGUGUGACUUUGGACCACCUCCUUGAAGAUGCAGCUGCUUCCCAGGACUUCUUUCCCACUUCCCACAGGCUGGAGAGUGGGCACCCAGGCUUUAGUCACAACCACCAAGAUGACCCUGUGGGGAGGUGACAGGGAGAGAAGAUGGACCUCUUGGAGAGGAGCAGCCACUUCUCCAGCUAUGGACUGCUGACAUAAGUACUAUUUAGAGAGAGGAAAAUAAAC